rnacentral:rRNA from 1 species
UUGACCUCGGAUCAGGUAGGGAUACCCGCUGAACUUAAGCAUAUCAAUAAGCGGAGGAAAAGAAACCAACAGGGAUUGCCUCAGUAACGGCGAGUGAAGCGGCAAUAGCUCAAAUUUGAAAGCUGGCGCCUUCGGCGUCCGCGUUGUAAUUUGUAGAGGAUGCUUCGGCGAGGACUCCUGCCUAAGUCCCCUGGAACGGGGCGUCACAGAGGGUGAGAAUCCCGUACGUGGCGGGCGGUCCGAGCCAUGUGAAGCUCCUUCGACGAGUCGAGUUGUUUGGGAAUGCAGCUCUAAAUGGGAGGUAAAUUUCUUCUAAAGCUAAAUAUUGGCCAGAGACCGAUAGCGCACAAGUAGAGUGAUCGAAAGAUGAAAAGCACUUUGGAAAGAGAGUUAAAAAGUACGUGAAAUUGUUGAAAGGGAAGCGCUUGCAACCAGACUCGCUCGCAGUUGCUCAGCCGGCCUCUUGGCCGGUGUACUCUUCUGCGAUCGGGCCAGCAUCAGUUCGGGCGGCCGGAUAAAGGCAUCGGGAAUGUAGCACCCUUCGGGGUGUGUUAUAGCCCGGCGCGGAAUGCGGCCAGCCUGGACUGAGGAUCUCGCUUCGGCAAGGAUGCUGGCGUAAUGGUUGUAAGCGGCCCGUCU